rnacentral:rRNA from 1 species
UACGGAGGGUGCAAGCGUUAUCCGGAUUCACUGGGUUUAAAGGGUGCGUAGGAGAGCAGGUAAGUCAGUGGUGAAAUCUUCGAGCUUAACUCGGAAACUGCCGUUGAUACUAUCUGUCUUGAAUACCGUGGAGGUGAGCGGAAUAUGUCAUGUAGCGGUGAAAUGCUUAGAUAUGACAUAGAACACCAAUUGCGAAGGCAGCUCGCUACACGAAUAUUGACUCUGAGGCACGAAAGCGUGGGGAUCAAACAGG